UUACGGUCAAAUCACGUUGAAAUCACCGGUUCUCGUACGAUCACCGAAGUUAAGCAUCGUAGAGCCAGGUCAGUACUUAGAUGGGGGGACCGCUUGGGAACACCUGGUACUGUAAG
rnacentral:rRNA from 1 species